CCGAGCCGAGAGCGCGGCCAAGGCCGCUCCCCCACCCCCGGGGGCACUUGGAGGACUCGGGACUCCCCCGCAGGUCAGCGCCCGGCGCAUCUGGUGUUUUCGCUGCCGAGGAUAGGACGACGAGCGCAAUCGGGAGCUCCGCCGCCCGGAUUCCUGCUUCCCUGGGGCCCGGAGGCUGCUGCGUACCCCACUGUGACCUGGAACCCAGGGACCCGAGUCCCGACCCGGAUUAUCGUGGCGCUUUUCCCGGCCGGCUCUGGUGCUCGGUGUCCCUCCGCCGCCGCUCCCGUUUCCGGCGGGGGAGAUGGCCAGGAUCUGACCCGGGAGGAGGCCGCACCCGCGCCGCGCUCUGCGGCUGGCUCUAGGCGAUGCCGAGCAGCUCGGACACGGCGCUGGGGGGAGGCGGGGGCCUGAGCUGGGCGGAGAAGAAGUCGGGUCUUCUCGCUGCCCCAGCCGCAGCAGGACGGCGGUGGCGGUGCUAGUAGCGGCGGGGGUGUGACCCCGCUGGUGGAAUACGAGGAUGUGAGCUCCCAGUCCGAGCAGGGGCUGCUGCUGGGGGGGGCCAGCGCGGCAACGGCGGCGACGGCUGCCGGGGGAACGGGGGGCAGCGGCGGGAGUCCGGCCUCCUCCUCCGGCACCCAGCGGCGCGGGGAGGGGUCGGAGCGCAGGCCCCGCCGGGACCGCCGCAGCAGCAGUGGCCGCAGCAAGGAGCGCCACCGCGAGCACCGGCGGCGGGAUGGGCAGCGCGGUGGCAGCGAGGCCUCCAAGUCCCGCAGCCGCCACAGCCACAGCGGCGAGGAACGGGCCGAGGUCGCCAAGAGCGGCAGCAGCAGCAGCAGC
rnacentral:lncRNA from 1 species